UACGGAGGGUGCAAGCGUUGUCCGGAUUUAUUGGGUUUAAAGGGUGCGUAGGCGGAACAAGCAGUCAGUGGUGAAAUCUUACGGCUCAACCGUAAAACUGCCAUUGAUACUUUUGUUCUUGAGUACAGUUGAGGUGGUUGGAAUGCGUAGUGUAGCGGUGAAAUGCAUAGAUAUUACGCAGAACGCCAAUUGCGAAGGCAGAUCACUAAACUGUAACUGACGCUGAGGCACGAAAGCGUGGGGAGCGAACAGG
rnacentral:rRNA from 1 species